AGCGUCGUCGUUUGCCGUCAGUCGCUGGCAACAUUUUGGCGCGUGUUGACAUGCUAACGAAAUUCGGUUAACGCGACGCGCGAAGCUUUUACCGUUAAACGCUUUCAGUUCAGUUUACCGUUAUUCGCUUGUCAUACGCUUCAAAUCAAAAUUCCUGUCUUGCCAUAUAUUGUUUGUCGCCAACCAGCCAGCCGAGCGACAAAAAGGUGGCCCAAAACCGGAGGCAAAAUUUUUGCAGUUUGUUUUUUCAAGUACACAAAAGUCAAAUGCAACAAUAAACAUAGUAAUAAUAAUUAUAAUAAUACUGAGUAAUAAAUAAUAAACAAUAAAUUAUAAAUAAUGAAUGACUA